GGAGCUGUAGACUAAUUGGCUAGGUUGGCUCCACGGAAUGGAAAUGCGGGUUCGAGUCCCGCCAGGGCCC